GUUUGUUCCUGUUUGACUUGGAGUGACUUCUGAGGCUGAUCCGUCAAGUAACAAGCAACACCUCUGCCUCCCCAGAUCCUAGCGGCGACUGAGUAAAAGUUGGGGCGUACUGCACCCACAGGGGUUCCCGUGUCUCCUGGUCUCCGCUCUCUGCCGGGCCGGCCUGGCCUGGCCUGUGUCGA